rnacentral:rRNA from 1 species
AAUCGACGAAAGUCGGAUGCAGCGACGCCACGUGGAGGAUGAAGCCCUUAGGGGUGUAAACUCCUGUCAGGAGGGAAGAAGGCAUGGAUGAAAAUAUUGUUUUUGCUUGACGGUACCUCCAGAGGAAGCUCCGGCUAACUUCGUGCCAGCAGCCGCGGUAAUACGAGGGGAGCGAGCGUUGUUCGGAUUUACUGGGCGUAAAGAGCACGUAGGCGGGUAUGCAAGUCGGUUGUGAAAUCCUCUAGCUCAACUAGAGAAUUGCAAUCGAAACUGCAUACCUUGAGUCCAGCAGAGGAAAUCGGAAUCCGGGGUGUAGCGGUGAAAUGCGUAGAUAUUCUGGAGAACACCAGUGGCGAAGGCGGAUUUCUGGGCUGGUACUGACGCUGAGGUGCGAAAGCUAGGGGAGCGAACAGGAUU